ACACGUGAUUCAGAGUUUGAUCCUGGCUCAGGACGAACGCUGGCGGCGUGCCUAACACAUGCAAGUCGAGCGGGGAUUGUGGAGAGCUUGCUCAAAACAAUUCUAGCGGCGGACGGGUGAGUAACGCGUGAGCAACCUGCCUAUCACAGGGGAAUAACGCACCGAAAGGUGUGCUAAUACCGCAUGAGACCACAAGAUCGCAUGGUCAAGGGGUCAAAGAUUUAUCGGUGAUAGAUGGGCUCGCGUCUGAUUAGCUGGUUGGUGAGGUAACGGCCCACCAAGGCGACGAUCAGUAGCCGACCUGAGAGGGUGAUCGGCCACAUUGGAACUGAGAAACGGUCCAA
rnacentral:rRNA from 1 species